GUUCCCUCCGUCCUCGUCCUCCUCAUCAUCAUCAUCAUCAUCAUCACCUGCUGUACUUGCAGACGAAGGUCUAAAAAACAAGAGGAAGAAAAAUAUGCAGUCUACGAAGAGAUUCAGGAUGGAGGAUCGAUACCUACAAAUCGUGUGAACAUUUCUGGCAGACCAUCAACUACUAUCAACAUGGCGGAUCUUCAAGGUGAUUCAAACCAAAAU